rnacentral:rRNA from 1 species
GACGGAGGAUGCAAGCGUUAUCCGGAAUGAUUGGGCGUAAAGCGCGCGUAGGCGGACCUGCAAGUCGGGGGUGAAAGCCUGAGGCUCAACCUCGGAACUGCCUUCGAUACUGCGGGUCUCGAGUCCGGGAGAGGUGAGUGGAAUUCCUAGUGUAGAGGUGAAAUUCGUAGAUAUUAGGAAGAACACCAGUGGCGAAGGCGGCUCACUGGCUCGGUACUGACGCUGAGGUGCGAAAGCGUGGGGAGCAAACAGG